UGAAAAAAACUUCAUAAAAAAAUUUCGUAAAAAAAUUUGUGAAAAAAAAGAAUAUAAAAAAUAUAUAUAUUUGUGAAAGAGCAAUUCAAGAUAUUGAAAAAAAAAAGAUUCACGAAAAUACAAAAAAAAGAGGGUGAAGUUUGAUUGCAUCAAUAUUUUUUUCUGCCGGAAUCCAUUCUUUUUAACAAAAUCAUUCGGCC
rnacentral:lncRNA from 1 species